GGGUUGUGAGGUUAAGCGACUAAGCGUACACGGUGGAUGCCCUGGCAGUCAGAGGCGAUGAAGGACGUGCUAAUCUGCGAUAAGCGUCGGUAAGGUGAUAUGAACCGUUAUAACCGGCGAUUUCCGAAUGGGGAAACCCAGUGUGAUUCGUCACACUAUCAUUAACUGAAUCCAUAGGUUAAUGAGGCGAACCGGGGGAACUGAAACAUCUAAGUACCCCGAGGAAAAGAAAUCAACCGAGAUUCCCCCAGUAGCGGCGAGCGAACGGGGAGGAGCCCAGAGCCUGAAUCAGUGUGUGUGUUAGUGGAAGCGUCUGGAAAGGCGCGCGAUACAGGGUGACAGCCCCGUACACAAAAAUGCACAUACUGUGAGCUCGAUGAGUAGGGCGGGACACGUGGUAUCCUGUCUGAAUAUGGGGGGACCAUCCUCCAAGGCUAAAUACU
rnacentral:rRNA from 1 species